AUUGAACGCUGGCGGCAUGCCUUACACAUGCAAGUCGAACGGCAGCACGGGGCAACCUGGUGGCGAGUGGCGAACGGGUGAGUAAUGCAUCAGAACGUACCUUUCAGUGGGGGAUAACGUAGCGAAAGUUACGCUAAUACCGCAUAUUCUGUGAGCAGGAAAGCAGGGGAUCGCAAGACCUUGCGCUGAUUGAGCGGCCGAUGUCAGAUUAGCUAGUUGGUGAGGUAAAGGCUCACCGAGGCGACGAUCUGUAGCGGGUCUGAGAGGAUGAUCCGCCACACUGGAACUGAGACACGGUCCAGACUCCUACGGGAGGCAGCAGUGGGGAAUUUUGGACAAUGGGGGCAACCCUGAUCCAGCCAUGCCGCGUGAGUGAAGAAGGCCUUCGGGUUGUAAAGCUCUUUCGGCCGGGAAGAAAUCGCACGGGCUAAUACCCUGUGUGGAUGACGGUACCGGAAUAAGAAGCACCGGCUAACUACGUGCCAGCCGCCGCCGUAAAAC
rnacentral:rRNA from 1 species